rnacentral:tRNA from 1 species
GCCGGUGUGGUGAAAUUGGUAUACACGACGGAUUCAAAAUCCGUUGCCGCAAGGCGUAGCGGUUCAAGUCCGCUCACCGGUACCA